rnacentral:rRNA from 1 species
AUACGUAGGGUGCGAGCGUUGUCCGGAAUUACUGGGCGUAAAGAGCUCGUAGGUGGUUUGUCGCGUCGUCUGUGAAAUUCCGGGGCUUAACUCCGGGCGUGCAGGCGAUACGGGCAUAACUUGAGUACUGUAGGGGAGACUGGAAUUCCUGGUGUAGCGGUGAAAUGCGCAGAUAUCAGGAGGAACACCGGUGGCGAAGGCGGGUCUCUGGGCAGUAACUGACGCUGAGGAGCGAAAGCAUGGGUAGCGAACAGGAUUAGAUACCCUGGUAGUCCAUGCCGUAAACGGUGGGCGCUAGGUGUAGGGGUCUUCCACGACUUCUGUGCCGUAGCUAACGCAUUAAGCGCCCCGCCUGGGGAGUACGGCCGCAAGGUUAAAACUCAAAUGAAUUGACGGGG